ACAGCGAGUACAUUAGAAAAAUCAGCCACAUUUUGACUCAGAAACUCAAGGCCAUUCAGAUCCUACAGGACAAGAUAGAACACUACCAGUCAUCGACUGUCUCUUACUGAGAACGAGGCUCCAGGAAUUGUCCAGGAUCACCCACUUACAGCUCGUCUAUAGGCUCGUCUUUGAUUGUUAAAAACACGGGACAGUGACGUAUACUUUACUGCAGUGCCGUAGAACAUUUAUUAAAUUUCUGAAAUGUUUCAUGAGCGUAUUUGCAGAAAAAAUAUAUCCAUUGUGAUUGUAAUAUUAUCGUAAUUCCGUCCAAAAAUUUCAUAAAACAUAGUAUUUCU
rnacentral:misc_RNA from 1 species